rnacentral:rRNA from 1 species
AGCAGCCGCGGUAAUUCCAGCUCCAAUAGCGUAUAUUAAAGUUGUUGCAGUUAAAAGCUCGUAGUUGAAUUUCGGGAUCAGUACGCUGGUCAUGCCUUUGGUAUGCACUGGUGUCACUGGUUUCUCCCUUUUGAAGAACCGUGAUGUCAUUAAUUUGGUGUCGCGGGGAAUCAGGACUGUUACUUUAGAAAAAUUGAGUGUUUAAAGCAGGCUCACGCUUGAAUACAUUAGCAUGGAAUAAUGAAAUAGGACGUUUGACCCUUAUUUUGUUGGUUUCUAGGAUCGACGUAAUGAUUAAGUAGGGA